UACGUAGGGGGCAAGCGUUGUCCGGAUUUAUUGGGCGUAAAGAGCGUGUAGGUGGCCAGGUAGGUCGGUUGUGAAAACUAGAGGCUCAACCUCUAGACGUCGACCGAAACCAUCUGGCUAGAGUCCGGAAGAGGAGAGUGGAAUUCCUGGUGUAGCGGUGAAAUGCGCAGAUAUCAGGAAGAACACCCGUGGCGAAAGCGGCUCUCUGGGACGGUACUGACGCUGAGACGCGAAAGCGUGGGGAGCGAACAGG
rnacentral:rRNA from 1 species